GCUGGCAACCAUUCCAGGGUGUGCCCCCACCUCUUGCCCAGUCAACUAGGAAGGGCUCCAAAUGGAUUGUUCUGAGCAAUGACGUAGAAUAGAAACUAGACUGAACACUCUGCAUCCAACAUUGGUUCCGCCAUGGUCAAAAAGCAAGCUAACGAGAAGUUGCUCUUCUUUUGAUGUCGUAACAGUGAGACGGAAUCCACAGCGCCCCAUGUGGGUCACGUGAGAGCCGGAGCCUAUCCUGGCUGACUUUGAGUAAAAGGCGGGCUCCAUCCUAGACUGGUCAGAAUUCUCCAACGUCCAGUUGAUGACUUAAUGGCAAAUUUGAAUGUAAUCUAAAUAAAACGUUCCAGUAUGUGUUAUGUCAAUUCUUCGUUUACAUACGGCGGUUAUUGUGAUAUUUCUUCAAU